CUGGUGAGUGUGUAUUCUUGUUCAAAGGAGGUCACGGGCCAAUCAGCUCGGGUUUUUUUUCCUCUAUAGAGAUGUUCCCAUUGCUAAGUUCAAAUGAGUCAAACCGGAAGAUAGCCAUUGCCAAUAUGUGUGUAAGUAGGUGUGGGACAAGACAUAGCCCAGCACCUAUAAUACCAUAAAGCAGCUCCUUGCUAGCAGCUCCCCAAAUCGCGGGAGCUCUAAGGCGUCCUCGCCGAGCAGGGAGCCAGGCUUUCCCAAAGCAAACUUACAUAAGCAGCCGCAGCCGCCUCCUUAUUCCGGAGCAGCUGCGACAAUGGCGGCCACACCACUUCCCUGUUGCGACCGCACAACUUGGGAGUGGGGAAUCCGGGACCCCGUGCAAGACCUGGGGCGCAGUCCGCGCGUGGGGAGCCCACACUCGCAUUUCGAAGCCCGUGAUCAGCCGGGUGCAACGAGCCCUCAGCAUUCUUUCCUAAACAAAAGCUCCCCUGAGCGGUGCCCGCCAGCGACAGGCCACCUUCCCUUCCACCAUCCGCCACUUCUCCAGGUCGCGGCGCGGGCGCGAGGCUCUUCUUUGGCCCGCAGCAGCCCCGGCGGCGCGACAAGCUCCGGAGCGGGCAUGCGGCCGGUUCCGCAGCCCCGCGCCGCGCCGCGCCCUGCUCCGCCCGCGAGCCCGGAGCUCGCGCCCCGCGCACUCCGCGGCCUGCGCGUCUGGUCCUCCCGCGCCCUCCCGCGGCCAGGGGCGGGGGCGGCGCGCGGCCGGCUCCCCGGAGCUCCGCGGACGCAGGCGGGGAGCGUGCGCGGGGGUCCCGUCUGCUCUGGAGGGUAUGGCUGCGAGGGGCGGCGCCCCGCGGGCCGCGCUCGGGCCCGGCUCGGCCGUCCCCACCCCCACCGCGGUGCACUGCGGCGCGGAGAGCCGGGCGGCCAUGAACUCGGCCGCGGAGCGCGCGCGCGGGCCGCCGCCUGGCCUCUCCCCACCCGCUCGCUGGCCUGCGCGGUCCCCGGGGCGCUCGGCCCCCACGCCCAACCGCGGCCCACGCCCGAUCCCGCUCGCACCGCGCUGCGCCGCCACAUCCUGCAGCUGGCUGCUGCCCGAGCUCGGCGGGAACGCGCCUCCUCUCAGCCGCCCCGCCGCGCCCGCCGCCGGCUGCCCCCGCGUCCCCGCGCCCGCCCCGGCCCUUUCCGCACCCGGCCCGCGCUUACCUGCAGCUUGGCACAGCUACAGACGCUCGCCGUGGGCUCCCGCGUUCGGCAGCGCGCAAGCCAGGACGGGAUGGAGUGGGGGCACGGAACCCUCAGGUCACCGCUUCUUCUGCUGCCUUGAAUGACAAACGUCUUAGAGGAUGCGACCGGUUGCAAACGAACUGAACCUAGCCAACUCCAGGUAGGCCACAGCUCAACAAAGGAAAACAAAAGCCUCACCUAGCGCUCAUACUGCAACAUUUCCCAACCCACAAGGGAGGGAGGAAGAGACUGCUAUGAGAGGAGAUAGACCUUGAGCACUUGGCACUUGGCCAUGGGAAGUAGACCCUGAGGACAGGCUGACGGAACAGAAAUAAUCCGGCAGGACUGAAAAGAAACAGCAAGUAACAAGAGACAUAGGGCUGGGAAAUUAGUUAGAAUAACUCACAGCCUGCCCAAUCUGGGCUUAGUGCAUGUGAAUAAAACACCAGGAUUUUGUGUCUUUUACAUGGGCUAGCUAGAAUAAAUAUUAUGUUUAUAACAGAUCAGAACGCUAUUGCUGCAUUAAUGGAACAUUUCGGGGGUUUUGUUAGGAAUGAAAAUACUUGCUGCACGUUGAGUCAGAUGGAGGCACUUUAUUAGAUUUAAUCUCAUUAUAAAACAUCCUGAGGAAUAAUUAUAUCAAACGAACCUCUGAGCCAUUCUCUUAAUCUCUGUAUUGAUACGGACUAGGGAAGAAAUUCCAGUUACUCUGAUAGGAAGGUUGAAUAGAAAGGCCAGGCCUUCCAUCAAGUGACAGAAAUACCUGAUCAAAUAACACAAGAGAACAACGGUUUUCUCCAGCUCCAAGUUUUAGGAACUUAGGACCACAGUUUAUAUGAGAAGCACUGUGGUUGCUUCUCCACCAAGGUGCGACAGAAACCACAGUGCUGGGAGCCUGCCCUAAGGAGACACUCACCUCACUAUGUGCAGGGAGCAGUGAAAAGGGAGAUUGGUCAAUGGACAAGAUGCAGCCCCGACGUUGUUCUCCAGGUAGCCCCCACAAGCCGGGGUCCAGCCUCUCUACUAUGCAAACAUGUAAGGGACAGACUAUACCUCAAACUAUAAUUACAUACAGAAUAUGUAAUGACUAUUCCUGGUUGCCACCUUGACUGUAUCUGGAAUGAACUACAACCCAGAGUUGGGAGGGCUCACCUGUGAUCAAUGAAUCCUCACUGGACAAAAUCACAAUACCCAGGUGUCUGUGUUCUCACUCUAGCCUAAGGAACUAAGUUUAUUCUUGACUCAAAUGUGAGUGAUCAGAAUGUGAGGCUUCAGAUGACAAGGAACAAUUCAGUGAUUCCAAUUCUCUGGAGUUUUUACAGUUGUAGGCUGGGAGACACAAGUUUCUGACCUGGGUUUUGGCAUGAAGGUCUUGGGGCACAGUGGCCAUGGAAAGCUUAGACCCAGGCAAGGUAGCAGACGCUUUUAAUCCCAGGAGAGUGGGGCAAGAAGAUCUCUGAGUUCAAGGUCUGCCUGGGACAAAACAAGUCCCAGAUCCAGGCGUGGUGGUGCACACCUUAAUCUGGGCCACACCUUCUGCUGGAGACCUACAUGAAGACAUUGGAAGAAGGAAGACUCACUCUUUGCCUGCUUGCACUGACUUGCCAGCACAUCUGUUGGAACCGACUUCUACAGAAGACCAGCUGAAACAACUCACCUCGUGGGACUGAGCAACUACUAGGUCCUUGGACUUCCCAUCCACAGCUGCCCAUUGUUGGGGAAAUUGGAUUACAGACUGUAAGUCAUCACAAUAAAAUCCCUCAAUAUAGAGAGACAUCCCAUACGUUCUGUGACUCUAGAGAACCCUGACUAAUACACCAUGCAUAGCCUUCUGUGUGUUGAGUCCCAAAAGGCUAAUGCCCAUCUCACUGUGCAAAAUAUAAGUAGCCAGUCUCUAAAAGCCCUGUAGUCGCAACAGUUCUGGCGUUGGUCAGAAGGCAGAGCUGAAACUCUUGUUUGAGAGCCAGAGAAAACUCACAGCCAUGAGCUUCUGUAAAAUCACAAAUCAUAUAUGGCCAGGGUAUAGAGUAAACGUUUCCAUUCGAAGAGGGAAGACUAGGAGGGAUUUAAGGAGGGCACACGUUCAAAGCGAGACUGAAACUUAGCCCGGAAGUCAUUAAGUCCUGUAGCUUUGUGUCCUGUGUAUGGGGCGCUUGAAGUCAUGGUAGGGGCAGAGUGUGUGUAGACCAUGUGACUAGCUCUACUGGUCUCUUGCAGCCUCCCUAGGCGAUGUCCCAUAUUACAUCUUCCAGGGUCUUCACUGCAGCCUGUCAGAAACUUUCACGGUUGCCUCAAAGGUUUUCGUCACCGAAUUCCAACACAACUGACUUUCCAAAGAAACCAUUGGUUUCCACUUCAGUGUGAUUUAGUGAACUAUUAUUUUUCAACGAUAUGGUCAUAUUCAUUCCAUUUUUAAAUUUAUACCUCCUCAUUUUAUAUGACUCUGCCUUACAGUUUCCAAGGAUAUCAUAAAAAAAUUGUACAUGUAUUUAAUUCUUUUUUAAAUGGUAUGGUAAACAUCUUAUUUUGUUAUUAAUAUAUGUGUCGUCGUAUUUAAAGUGGGUUUUAUGGUAGUUUUUGUUUGUUUUUUAUUUUAAUCCAAAGAAACAUGCCCUUUUAAUGUUGGUGGACUCACAACAUUGGUGAAGAUGGUUUUUGAUACAAUUGAAUUAAUAUAAACUGUUUUUGACUAUUUUGCAUUUGCUAUCCUUGUAUACCACCCCCUGCCCCCAGGCCUCCAAGGCAAACCCAAAACCAAAACCAACCAGCCAAAUCAAACCAAAGCAAACUGAUCCAAAUGAACGAGAAGCCCAACUGAAGAAACUAGACUUUCCAUAAAGUAGUAAGGUCAGGAAAAGGAACCACUGUAUAGCCGUGGAUUGAGUCUGCCCUUCCUAGGACUUGACCCUAUGAACUUCACCCACACUCAUAGUUUCACCAUCCCUGUCUUCCUGGGUGGAACACAGUGUCCGUAGCGGGCUGACAUUUUAAUUUGUUUAACUUUCUGGAAAUCUUGUUGUUGUUGUUUUUAUUUUUUUUGGUUUUUGUUGUUGUUGUUUGUUUUUUGUUUUUUUUUCUCCAUCAGGUCAUUCAGGCUCUGAUAAAACCGGAGGAGGCUAGGAAUUAGUUUGAAGAUCACAGGACUCCUGAAUGGGAGGUGGAAUUCACAGUGGUUAGAUUGGAACUUAGCUUCCAUUUCUAUUUACCACUGCUAAUCUUCCCACCAUCUGCCCAAUGUUCUUUCUCCCUUUUCUCUCCAUUCCUAUGUACACAUUUGCUCUGACCCAGUUUGCUACAAAGAGAACAUCACAGUUACAGUAUUUCCCUCCAAACACCCAGAUGUGUGUUUCCUUUUUUAAAAGGCGACAGUACCUUACGUUAUUACCACAGUGAGCAAAGGCAAGUAGCUGAUGCCCGGGAGAUGAUGCUGUAAUCUAACCCAUGCCUCAAGUAUCCCGGCUCCCCACACAUCCAGUACUUCUGUUACUAUUACAUCUGGUUGUCAAGGGUUAACACUUCCAUUGCUCGCUUCUGAGCUCACCUUUGUGGCUUUUGGUACUUACAGAGGCAUCUUCUAAAUUCUGUGGUUCCUGUUAUGGGGGAAAUACCACACUGCAGUAUUUAGCGUUAUUUUAAAUUCCACACAGAAGGACGUGGACCCUUUCACCAAGCUCCAGUCACCCCUAUUGCCAGAGGCACAUCCUAGAGCCACACCUUUCUGAAACCUGAGAAUAAUUUUUGUUGCUUUUCUUUCUCUCGUCCUGCCUGCAAAGCUCCACCACUUGACUCCACGGUGGAGCACUGAGCCACACUUUGGAAGCUUUUCUUUUUAAAAUUUUCAGAGGACAGACCAGAAGACUUGAAUUUUUGUCAUCGGUCAAGGACUGUUUCAUGUAAGAAAGGAAAGUGUGUAUUCUUACGUUAAUAUCCCACAUGUUAUAUUCCUGUUGAGAAGCAGGUUUUUGAAGCUGAAUUUAGUUUCCCCUUCAUUGCGGCGGACACCUGAACGGUGGACUCCUGAACUGUGUGGAGGAGCACUUCACCAGUCUGCCGGAUGGUGCGUACAGCACAGUUACCCUUGUGGUCUGGGACAGUGUCCAAGCGACCACUCAGGUCCUUUGGACUGUGACACUCUAUAGGACUGACAAAGUGGAAUUCAAGUUAUGUCUAUUAUAGAUGCUAAACUGAAGCACCUACUGAUCUCUACCUACAUCAGAUUAAUGCUCUGUGUCCCAAAUGUUCGUCAGUGUUGUGUGACGGUGUUUAGAAAUUGGCCUAUCAUAUCAGUACCUUCAGGCAUGUGAUAUAAAACCGCUAUGUGAUGUUACUUAUGGUAUUUAAUGAACUGCUCACUCUACCUUUUAUACGUGAAACUAGUUCAUCAGCGUGGUACAAAAUUUAAUAUUUUAUCAAAACUAUCAUUCUGCCAAAUAUUGUUAAACUAAUUUUAAAGGGCUGAAUGCAUUAGCAUUUACUGCAGGUGAGCAAAAAAAAUUUAUUUUGCUUUUCUGGAAAUCAAAAGGUCAUGCUGUCUUGCCAGCCGUGAGUACCCCAAAUGUCAAUAUAAUUAAUAGAUAAUUGAAAUAAAAAUUUCGUCAACUGGCAUCUGUAAUUCAGCUCCAUAUACAACUUCGUCCUUUCCAACCCUGGUGUACAUGGUUGUGCCCCUUCACAUUUGGGCUGUACGUUCCACAUAUAUUUAGGUUUGUAUUACCUAAACAAACUUGUUACAGCUGGUGAAACAGCCAUCGAACUAGCCCAUCAAUGUCACGGUAUUUAGUUUCUUAUCAACGUCAAAACAGUGUCAGUUCACAAACUUAGUGUAUAAAUUGUUCAAGUAAAGACAUUGAAGAAAAGCAGCUUACAGCAAGGGGUGGCUCCUUACCUGGUGUCUGGGUGCUGAGCUCGAACCACGUGUCACUGCCUAUCAACCAACGUUCCAGGAGCAGGCUGCUUCAUGCGUGACUCACGAUGCAGUUUCCGUAUUUCUGCAACCAGAAGAAAGAUAGCCCUUCCUCAAGGGCCGAUCAGUUCAAUAAGUGGAAAUACGUAGAUUUUCUUUGUGAUAUACAUAGAUUUGUUCUAGACUGUCUUGCAGAUUCGCUCAUAUAUCCAAAAGAUGCCCCGCCAUGCCACGGGAACACGUGCUGCACUCUGUUCCUCAUAGUGGCCUCAUUUGUAACAGCUGGAAGCUGGAAACAACCCAGAUGUCGCUCGACAGAAGAAUGGAUACAGAAAAUGUGGUGCUUAUACACCAUGGAAUACUAUCCAGCUAUUAAGAAUGAGGACGUUAUGAGUUUUGUAGGCAAAUGGAUGGAACUGGAAAAUAUCCUGAGUGAGGUAACCCAGACCCAAAAGGACAUGCAUGGUGUGCAUUCACUGAUAAGUGCAUAUUAGCCAAAAAAGUACAGAAUACAACCCAAUCAUUUUAAUAAAAUUUCAUGCAAUGUAAAAAAAAAAGUGUACAACUAAGAUAAAUAUCUACGAGAUAUAUUCAAGUGAAAAUUCAUAGAGAUGGUAAAGAAGUUGGGUAAUUCAUUCUAAAUUUCCAAGAGAGAGA
ensembl:lncRNA